CUGCUGCCUCCCGUAGGAGUUUGGACCGUGUCUCAGUUCCAAUGUGGGGGACCUUCCUCUCAGAACCCCUACGCAUCGUCGGCUUGGUGGGCCGUUGCCCCACCAACUACCUAAUGCGCCGCAUGCCCAUCCGUGACCGGAGUCGCCCCCUUUGGCCGGAAAGGGAUGUCCCUUCCCGGCGUCAUGCUGUAUUAGGCGGGAUUUCUCCCGGUUAUCCAUCUGUCACGGCCAGGUUGCAUACGUGUUACUCACCCGUGCGCCGGUCGCCGG
rnacentral:rRNA from 1 species